UGCUGCCUCGGGUCACCGGUUCUCACGGCCUCACGUGGCAGCCCCGCAACGGGCCUGGCGAGGUUCUCAGUGACCCGACAAAGCCCGACCCCAAGGACGCUGCUCGUGCCCUCUCCCAGGAGGGGGGACCCGGUGUCCAGAGACGCCGCACGCUGCCCCGGACGCUUGGCCCUCGGGAGGCGAGAACAGGACGGAUGGGACAGCAGCUCCCGGCGUCUCUUCCGGGGCCCUGACCACCGCGUCCACGUGCACACGCCACCGCGGGGAAACGCAUCCCCUCAUGUUUAGUAAAACGCUCCUGCUGCUGCCUGGAAUCCGCGAGAGACGCCAACUCCGCUUCCCUGUGACCAUGAGGUGCGGGCGGCGGGGCGCCCAAGGCCCACCUUAGAGUGACAGAGCAUGAGAGGGGGAGGAGCA